ensembl:snoRNA
GCUGAGGUCUAUCCUGAUGGGGCUUUUUCUGUAGACCUACACAUCAUUGGAAAUGCCUCACAGAGUAAGUAUGUGGUUUCCUUUACUCUCAGAACUACAUGUUAGAUCUGUGGGAAAGAACUACAAGACAGAG